rnacentral:misc_RNA from 1 species
GAUGAAGAACGCAGCGAAAUGCGAUAAGUAAUGUGAAUUGCAGAAUUCAGUGAAUCAUCGAAUCUUUGAACGCACAUUGCGCCCGCCAGUAUUCUGGCGGGCAUGCCUGUUCGAGCGUCAUUACAACCCUCAGGCCCCCGGGCCUGGCGUUGGGGAUCGGCGGAAGCCCCCUGUGGGCACACGCCAUCCCUCAAAUACAGUGGCGGUCCCGCCGCAGCUUCCAUUGCGUAGUAGCUAACACCUCGCAACUGGAGAGCGGCGCGGCCAUGCCGUAAAACACCCAACUUCUGAAUGUUGACCUCGAAUCAGGUAGGAAUACCCGCUGAACUUAAGCAUAUCAAUAAGCGGAGGA